rnacentral:rRNA from 1 species
GUGUCAGCAGCCGCGGUAAUACGUAGGGGGCAAGCGUUGUCCGGAAUUAUUGGGCGUAAAGCGCGCGCAGGCGGCGAUUUAAGUCUGACGUUUAAGCCCAGGGCUCAACCCUGGUUCGCGUUGGAAACUGGAUCACUUGAGUGCAGAAGAGGAAAGCGGAAUUCCACGUGUAGCGGUGAAAUGCGUAGAGAUGUGGAGGAACACCAGUGGCGAAGGCGGCUUUCUGGUCUGUAACUGACGCUGAGGCGCGAAAGCGUGGGGAGCAAACAGGAUUAGAUACCCUGGUAGUCC